UACGAAGGGGGCUAGCGUUGUUCGGAAUUACUGGGCGUAAAGCGCGUGUAGGCGGGCCGUUAAGUCGGGGGUGAAAGCCCAGAGCUCAACUCUGGAAUUGCCUUCGAUACUGGCGGCCUGGAGCAUGUUAGAGGCGAGUGGAAUUGCGAGUGUAGAGGUGAAAUUCGUAGAUAUUCGCAGGAACACCAGUGGCGAAGGCGACUCGCUGGGACAUUGCUGACGCUGAGACGCGAAAGCGUGGGGAGCAAAC
rnacentral:rRNA from 1 species